AACGAACGUUAGCGGCGCGCCUAACACAUGCAAGUCGAACGCGACUGGGGGCAACUCCAGCCGAGUGGCGCACGGGUGAGUAACACGUAGGUAAUCUCCCCCCGAGUGGUGGAUAACCUUCCGCAAGGAGGGCUAAUACAGCAUAAGACCACGGGCUCGAAAGGGCUUGAGGGCAAAGCGGAGGAACGCAAGACUUCGCGCUUGGGGUUGAGGCGGCGGCCCAUCAGCUAGUUGGCGGGGUAACAGCCCACCAAGGCCAAGACGGGUAGCUGGUCUGAGAGGAUGAUCAGCCACACUGGAACUGAGACACGGUCCAGACUCCUACGGGAGGCAGCAGUGGGGAAUCUUGCGCAAUGGCCGAAAGGCUGACGCAGCGACGCCGCGUGGGUGAUGAAGGCCUUCGGGUUGUAAAGCCCUGUGGGGAGGGACGAAUAAGUGCCGCCUAAUACGCGGCGCGAUGACGGUACCUCCUUAGCAAGCACCGGCUAACUCUGUGCCAGCAGCCGCAGUAAUAC
rnacentral:rRNA from 1 species